rnacentral:rRNA from 1 species
GACGUAGGGCGCGAGCGUUGUCCGGAAUUAUUGGGCGUAAAGAGCUCGUAGGCGGCUUGUUGCGUCGGCUGUGAAAAUCCGGGGCUCAACCCCGGACUUGCAGUGGGUACGGGCAGACUAGAGUGUGGUAGGGGAGACUGGAAUUCCUGGUGUAGCGGUGAAAUGCGCAGAUAUCGGGAAGAACACCCGUGGCGAAGGCGGCUCUCUGGGACGGUACUGACGCUGAGACGCGAAAGCGUGGGGAGCAAACAGG